UUCCCCAGAUUUCUAAAUUUUAGGCUCGGGGCCACAUAACAGUUUUCAACAUGCUGCAUCCAGGUUCGCUGGAAGGGUUAUGAUUCUAGUGAAGACACGUGGGAGCCACUUGAAAAUUUGAGCAACUGCAAAGACCGAAUUAAAGAUUUUGUAAGAGAAGGAAUCUCGUCAAAGUUACUGCCACUCCCUGGAGAUGUAGAUUUUAUUUGUGGAGGUCCACCAUGUCAAGGUAUUAGUGGAUUGAAUCGUUUUAGAAAUGCUGAUGCGCCAUUAGAUGAUGAAAGAAAUCGCCAAAUUGUUGUCUUCAUGGAUACUGUGCAAUUUUUGAAGCCUAAAUAUGUUUUGAUGGAAAAUGUUGUUGAUAUAUUGAAGUUUGCCAAGGCUACACUUGGGCGGUAUGCUUUAAGUCGUUUGAUUGAGAUGAAUUACCAAGCCAGAUUAGGCAUUAUGGCUGCUAGUUGCUAUGGUCUUCCCCAAUUUCGCUUGCGUGUCUUUUUAUGGGGUUGUCAUCCUAAUGAGAAAUUGCCGCAGUUCCCACUUCCUAAUCACGAAACCAUUUUGAAGCAUGGCUCUUCCGUUGAAUUUGAG